UACAGAGGUCUCAAGCGUUGUUCGGAUUCAUUGGGCGUAAAGGGUGCGUAGGCGGCGAGGCAAGUCUGGUGUGAAAUCCCGGGGCUCAACCCCGGAACUGCACUGGAUACUGCUUUGCUAGAGUACUGGAGAGGGAACUGGAAUUUACGGUGUAGCAGUAAAAUGCGUAGAUAUCGUAAGGAAGACCAGCGGCGAAGGCGAGUUCCUGGACAGUUACUGACGCUGAGGCACGAAGGCCAGGGGAGCAAACGGG
rnacentral:rRNA from 1 species